UACGGGGGAGCAAGCGUUGUUCGGAUUUACUGGGCGUAAAGGGCGCGUAGGCGGUCAGCACAAGUCAGUUGUGAAAUCUCCGAGCUUAACUCGGAAAGGUCAACUGAUACUGUGCGGCUAGAGUGCGGAAGGGGCAACUGGAAUUCUUGGUGUAGCGGUGAAAUGCGUAGAUAUCAAGAGGAACACCUGCGGCGAAGGCGGGUUGCUGGGCCGACACUGACGCUGAUGCGCGAAAACUAGGGGAGCGAACGGG
rnacentral:rRNA from 1 species